rnacentral:rRNA from 1 species
CCCACGGGAGACAGCAGUGGGGGAUAUUGCACAAUGGGGGAAACCCUGAUGCAGCGACGCCGCGUGUGGGAAGACGGUCUUCUGGAUUGUAAACCACUGUCCCCAGGGACGAAAAUGACGGUACCUGGGGAGGAAGCUCCGGCUAACUACGUGCCAGCAGCCGCGGUAAUACGUAUGGAGCAAGCGUUGUCCGGAAUUACUGGGUGUAAAGGGAGCGUAGGCGGGGAUGCAAGUUGGGUGUCAAAACUACCGGCUCAACCGAUAGUCGCACUCAAAACUGCAACUCUUGAGUGAAGUAGAGGCAGGCGGAAGUCCGAGUGUAGCGGUGAAAUGCGUAGAUAUUAGGAGGAACACCAGUGGCGAAGGCGGCCUGCUGGGCUUUUACUGACGCUGAGGCUCGAAAGUGUGGGGAGCAAACAGGAUUAGAUACCCCAGUAGUC